rnacentral:rRNA from 1 species
AACGAACGCUGGCGGCAGGCUUAACACAUGCAAGUCGAGCGCCCCGCAAGGGGAGCGGCAGACGGGUGAGUAACGCGUGGGAAUCUACCUAUCUCUACGGAAUAACCCAGGGAAACUUGGACUAAUACCGUAUACGCCCUUCGGGGGAAAGAUUUAUCGGAGAUGGAUGAGCCCGCGUUGGAUUAGCUAGUUGGUGGGGU